rnacentral:rRNA from 1 species
ACGCACGCUGGCGGCGUGCUUAACACAUGCCAGUCGAACGGAAAGGCCCUGCUUUUGUGGGGUGCUCGAGUGGCGAACGGGUGAGUAACACGUGAGUAACCUGCCCUUGACUUUGGGAUAACUUCAGGAAACUGGGGCUAAUACCGGAUAGGAGCUCCUGCUGCAUGGUGGGGGUUGGAAAGUUUCGGCGGUUGGGGAUGGACUCGCGGCUUAUCAGCUUGUUGGUGGGGUAGUGGCUUACCAAGGCUUUGACGGGUAGCCGGCCUGAGAGGGUGACCGGCCACAUUGGGACUGAGAUACGGCCCAGACUCCUACGGGAGGCAGCAGUGGGGAAUAUUGCACAAUGGGCGGAAGCCUGAUGCAGCAGCGCCGCGUGCGGGAUGACGGCCUUCGGGUUGUAAACCGCUUUCGCCUGUGACGAAGCGUGAGUGACGGUAAUGGGUAAAGAAGCACCGGCUAACUACGUG